rnacentral:lncRNA from 1 species
GUUCUUUGUGCUAUUGAAGUCAAGAGCAGAGGCAGCUCGUCGAUGACUGACCACGGCGGUGUCUCGGGCGGUGGAGGAUGAGUCCUUCUCCGGUGCCGGCGAUGGCUCUGGUGGCUCGGUGGUGGCUCGGGGGGGCUGUGGUGUGGUGUAGGGGAGGCAUGGGAGGGCUUAGCGGGUGGAGGUGUUCACCGGAGGGUAGGGGUCCACGGUGAGGGCACGGCGGCGGGGUUCUAGCAGAGGAGGCGGCGAGGGUGCAGAGUGCCGGUGAGCUGGGUUCAAG